rnacentral:rRNA from 1 species
UCCUCCCUCUUUCCUCGUGCUUAACACAUGCAAGUCGAACGGAAAGGCCUGCUUUCCCUUGUGGAUUGCGGGUACUCGCGUGGCGAACGGGUGAGUAACACGUGAGUGAUCUGCCCCCAACUUGGGUAUAAGCCUGGGAAACUGGGUCUAAUUCCCGAUAGGACUGCAGGGUGGUGCCUGUGGUGGAAAACGAUUUUCUAGUGGUUGGGGAUGAGCUCGCGGCCUAUCAGCUUGUUGGUGGGGGAAUGGCCUACCAAGGCGGCGACGGGUAGCCGGCCUGAGGGGGUGGACGGCCACAUUGGGACUGAGAUACGGCCCAGACGCCUACGGGAGGCAGCAAUGGGGAAUAUUGCACAAUGGGCGGAAGCCUGAUGCAGCGACGCCGCGUGGGGGAUGACGGCCUUCGGGUUUUAAACUCCUUUCGACCGCGAGGAAGCCACCUGGUUGGAAGGGUGGUGACGGUAGUGGUAGAAGAAGCACCGGCUAACUACGUG